rnacentral:lncRNA from 1 species
GGGAGGUCCCAGCCCCCACACAUCCAGUCCAGCCCUAGAUGAACGCUGUUGAGUGUCACUUACCAACCUGCUCUUCUGCCACUUUCUUAACACCCACUUUCUCCUUCCUCUUCCCAUUCUGUUCCAGGGAUCUGAUGGAACAAACUGCCCUCAGACACCACUGAGAUCGUGACACAGGCCAGUGCACUUCAGGAAAUUCAAACUGACAGGAGCCCCUGCCUUCUGCUGUUGCAAAAGUGGCUUGCUGUAGCAAGACGCCAGCUCAGAGCCACGGGCUGGCUGCAACUAAAAGUUCUUGACCCUCCCUCCGGAGAAGGGAGUGCCUGGGGGGCUGAAAGCUUUGGCGGGGUUGAGAUAAACACUCAGGUUAAGGCAUUUUUCAUCUGUUUAACCAGAUCUCGUUAUAUUGUCAAACAAGACUGCAGCGCUCACAAGAAACAGCUAUGGUAUUCUUGUCGAGAGGUGGGAUGAGAAGGAAGAAUUUAUUUUUUCCACUAAGGUUAAUUCCUCCGAUGCUGGGAGGCCAGGCAAAGUUUUUACUGGGAUGGAAAUGAAGGCUGAAGAGGUGAGCUCUUGGAGUCAUUGAAGGGAAGCCUGAUGGCACUUCAUAUGGCCCUGCCUUGCCAGGUGGGGAGGAAAGAGAACGUUAGUAAUAAUCUUGCCUACAUCCUAGGCAGAGAACUUCCCCCUUUUCAGGGCACCCACGUAAGUCAUCCCUAAUUGCAUAUUCCCUUGCUAUGUCGACUCUCCUUCGCUGACUCCAGGAAAAUGCCACCUUGCCUUUUAUUGCCUUUUUUUUUUAAAUAACUUCUCUUACCUUUUCCAGGUUGAGUUGAAUGUAACCAUUGCUUGGUCCUGAUGAUGCUCAAGUUAACUACAUGACCAUGCUACCCAGCCAUGAGUCCAGAUUAUACAGACCUAGUGAUGACCCAUGUGAAAAUACUUACAGUUAGUCCUAAACCAUGGUCUCACUGAAACAGACCAUCUGCAUUUUAGAAAAUCCAAAGCAAAUGUCUGCUUAUAUUCAUUGCUUUGGAGCACGGAAUGUAAUGUAUCGUCUGUCUGUACCGCAAUUCAUCCAUUCACCCACUGAAGGGUAUCUUCAUUGCUUCCCCAAACAUCCCCUUGGUUGCUACUCUAAACAUCUGGGCAGGUUGUUUUCAACUCCUUUGGGUAAACACCAAAGAGCACAAUCGCUGGACUGCAUGUGUUCGAGGGGCUCGCUGAUGAAUGUUCUGGAGUAGCCCUGACCCUGCUUAACAUGAGUUGUUCCUGUGAAGUUCCUUAAGGACACCAUGGUCUGCUCAUCUUUCUACUUCCAGAUCUGGAAUAGUUGAGACCAAGUAAGUGUUGAAUUGGAAGUUUCCAGGGGUUCUGGAAGCCAGACUGCCUUGGGUCCAGAGCCUCCUUGUGGCAUAAAGUUCCUGGUGGUCCCUGGGUAGAAACUCCAUUUCUUUGGGUCUCAGUUCUGUUGUCUGGAGAAUACUAGCACAUACCUCAGAGGGUGAUGGUAAAGAUGAAAUGAAUGUAUACAUUCAAAGGACACAGAUCAGCGGGAACUAGAGAAACAUUCGCUGUUAUUAUUAAGCAGGGUUAAUAAAUGGUUCAAUUCAACACA